rnacentral:rRNA from 1 species
CAGUCGCCGCGGUAAUACGAAGGGGGCUAGCGUUGUUCGGAAUUACUGGGCGUAAAGGGCGCGUAGGCGGCCAUUCAAGUUAGAUGUGAAAGCCCUGGGCUCAACCUGGGAAUUGCAUUUGAUACUGUUUGGCUUGAGUUCGGGAGAGGUGAGUGGAAUUCCCAGUGUAGAGGUGAAAUUCGUAGAUAUUGGGAAGAACACCAGUGGCGAAGGCGGCUCACUGGACCGACACUGACGCUGAGGCGCGAAAGCGUGGGGAGCAAACAGGAUUAGAUACCCCUGUAGUCCCUGUCUCUUAUAC